AAUAUUUGACAAUAGGCGAAAACCCGAUCCACCCAUACCGCGCGUGUGAAGAAGGUCUUCGGAUAGUGUAACCCUCUAUCCUUGGAGGAAGGGCAGUAAGUGAAUACAUUGCUGUAGCGACGUCACCGUCAGACCAAGCAGCGGCUAACAUCCUGCCAGCAGCCGCGGUAAUACGAAGGGUGCAAGCGUUAAUCGGAAUUACUGGGCGUAAAGGGCGCGUAGGUGGUUUGGUAAGUUUGAAGUGAAAGCCCUGGGCUUAACCUGGGAAUUGCUUUCAAAACUGGCGGGCUAGAGUAUGGCAGAGGGUAGUGGAAUUUCCUGUGUAGCGGUGAAAUGCGUAGAUAUAGGAAGGAACACCAGUGGCGAAGGCGACUUACUGGGCUAUUACUGACACUGAGGUGCGAAAGCGUGGGGAGCAAAC
rnacentral:rRNA from 1 species